rnacentral:rRNA from 1 species
UACGGAGGGAGCAAGCGUUGUUCGGAUUUACUGGGCGUAAAGGGCGCGUAGGCGGUCAGCACAAGUCAGUUGUGAAAUCUCCGGGCUUAACUCGGAAAGGUCAACUGAUACUGUGCGGCUAGAGUGCGGAAGGGGCAACUGGAAUUCUUGGUGUAGCGGUGAAAUGCGUAGAUAUCAAGAGGAACACCUGCGGCGAAGGCGGGUUGCUGGGCCGACACUGACGCUGAUGCGCGAAAGCUAGGGGAGCGAACGGG